AGAAAGACGUGAAAGAAAAUAGAAAACCACCAUUCAAAUUGAUCGAAGAAUAGCUAGAAUGGCAAAGACUCAGCCAAUGAUCAACUCCAGGGUAUUAAAGAAGUUCUAAAGGUACCUGUCAGUACUGUAACAAUUAGAAGAUGCCAAUGUGAAGCCAAACUAUGGACAAGAAGCCCCCAUAAAGGGCUGCAGACAGUUUGUUUAAUGACCCCC